UUGAACGCUGGCGGCAGGCUUAACACAUGCAAGUCGAGCGGAAACGAUGAUAGCUUGCUAUCAGGCGUCGAGCGGCGGACGGGUGAGUAAUGCUUGGGAAUAUGCCUUUUGGUGGGGGACAACCAGUGGAAACGCUGGCUAAUACCGCAUACGCCCUACGGGGGAAAGCAGGGGAUCUUCGGACCUUGCGCUAUUUGAUGAGCCUGCGUGAGAUUAGCUUGUUGGUGAGGUAAGCUCACCAAGCACGAUCUCUAGCUGGUCUGAGAGGAUGAUCAGCCACACUGGGACUGAGACACGGCCCAGACUCCUACGGGAGGCAGCAGUGGGAAUAUUGCACAAUGGGCGCAAGCCUGAUGCAGCCAUGCCGCGUGUGUGAAGAA
rnacentral:rRNA from 1 species